GCCGGUUGCAGUGGUGCACACCUGUAAUCCCAGUGCUCAGGAGGCUGAGGCAGGAGGAUCGUAAGUUCAAAGCCAACCUCAGCAAUGACAAAGUGCUAAGCAACUCCACGAGAGCCUGUCUCUA
rnacentral:sRNA from 1 species